GGUUGAGUGGUGUAGUGGUUAUCACACCUCCUUUACACGGAGUAGGUCGUGGGUUCGAACCCCACCUCGAUCA